rnacentral:snoRNA from 7 species
CUCUAUUUAACUUUGGGACCUGUCGGCUGUGUCAUGCUUCCUUUGUAGCCAUGGAAGAGCUUCUUAUUUAUUGGAAAAGCUGUUAUCUUUUGUAUAGUAUCAGAGUCUGACUUGCACAAGUAACAUUC